rnacentral:rRNA from 1 species
UACGAAGGGUGCAAGCGUUACUCGGAAUUACUGGGCGUAAAGCGUGCGUAGGUGGUUCGUUAAGUCUGAUGUGAAAGCCCCGGGCUCAACCUGGGAAUUGCAUUCGAGACUGAAUAGCUAGGGUACGGUAGAGGGAAGUGGAAUUUCCGGUGUAGCGGUGAAAUGCGUAGAUAUCGGAAGGAACAUCAGUGGCGAAAGCGACUUCCUGGACCAGUACCGACGUUCAGGCACGAAAGCGUGGGGAGCAAACAGG